AGAGGGGGCAAGCGUUGUUCGGAAUUACUGGGCGUAAAGGGCGCGUAGGCGGCCUGUUAAGUCGAACGUGAAAUCCCCGGGCUCAACCCGGGAACUGCGUCCGAGACUGAUAGGCUUGAAUCCGGGAGAGGGAUGUGGAAUUCCAGGUGUAGCGGUGAAAUGCGUAGAUAUCUGGAGGAACACCGGUGGCGAAGGCGGCAUCCUGGACCGGUAUUGACGCUGAGGCGCGAAAGCCAGGGGAGCAAACGGGAUUAGAUACCCCGGUAGUCCUGGCCCUAAACGAUGAAUGCUUGGUGUGGCGGGUAUCGAUCCCUGCCGUGCCGAAGCUAACGCAUUAAGCAUUCCGCCUGGGGAGUACGGUCGCAAGGCUG
rnacentral:rRNA from 1 species